rnacentral:tRNA from 1 species
GCCCCAGUAGCUCAACGGACAGAGCGGCAGACUUCUAAUCUGCGGGUUGCAGGUUCGAGUCCUGCCUGGGGCGCCU